UCUCCGUUGGUGAACCAGCGGAGGGAUCAUUACCGAGUUUACAACUCCCAAACCCAAUGUGACCCAUACCAAACUGUUGCCUCUGCGGGGUCACGCCCCGGGUGCGGCGCAGCCCCGGAACCAGGCGCCCCCCGGAGGGACCAACCAAACUCUUACUGUAGUCCCCUCGCGGACGUUAUUUUUACAGCUCUGAGCAAAAAUUCAAAAUGAAUCAAAACUUUCAACAACGGAUCUCUUGGUUCUG
rnacentral:misc_RNA from 1 species